rnacentral:lncRNA from 1 species
AGAAUGUGUACAGGGGGAGCAAUCACUUCUCCUAUAUAACUCUAGUAUGGCUUCACGUAUAAUUAUGAACUGUUUACAUACAUUAUAUCUGUGCAGGAACAACCAUAUUUAACACAGUCCUUCAGUGAAAAGAUUCUUGUCGGUCUUCUUGGGGGGAAGAUUGUUAUCUACAAAGCAAGCAUUCUGUCUGAAUAUAAGAAAAAGGCACCUGGAAAAGAAAGGACUUUUAAUUUUUUGUUAAAGAGUAUACAAGAAGAAGGUCCUGCCUGUCCUACUGAAGUACCAAAGGUCCAGUUUGUGAAGUGAGAAGUAUGGUCUUCUCAGCACUGAGAAGAGUAAGUCCUCUGUUUCUUUUGGCUGCUGAGUCAGACGUGAUCCAUGGUGGAUUAAGUCCAGUUCUAUGGGUUUGGUUUUCUUAGGAAAUCUA